AGUGUAGGCGGUUAUAUCAGUCGGAUGUGAAAGCCCCGGGCUCAACCUGGGAAUUGCAUUCGAUACUGUAUAGCUAGAGUUUGGUAGAGGUAAGUGGAAUUCCGGGUGUAGCGGUGAAAUGCGUAGAUAUCCGGAGGAACAUCAGUGGCGAAGGCGGCUUACUGGACCAAAACUGACGCUGAGGCUCGAAAGCGUGGGGAGCAAACA
rnacentral:rRNA from 1 species